rnacentral:rRNA from 1 species
GAUGAACGCUAGCUACAGGCUUAACACAUGCAAGUCGAGGGGCAGCAUUAACGAAAGCUUGCUUUUGUUAGAUGGCGACCGGCGCACGGGUGAGUAACGCGUAUCCAACCUGCCAUAUACAGAGGGAUAGCCUUGCGAAAGUAAGAUUAAUACCUCAUGGUUUAUGUUUGCCGCAUGGCGGAUAUAAUAAAGAUUUAUCGGUAUAUGAUGGGGAUGCGUCCCAUUAGAUAGUCGGCGGGGUAACGGCCCACCGAGUCGACGAUGGGUAGGGGUUCUGAGAGGAAGGUCCCCCACAUUGGAACUGAGACACGGUCCAAACUCCUACGGGAGGCAGCAGUGAGGAAUAUUGGUCAAUGGACGAGAGUCUGAACCAGCCAAGUAGCGUGCAGGAGGACGGCCCUAUGGGUUGUAAACUGCUUUAGUAUGGGAAUAAAGUCAUCCACGCGUGGAUGUUUGCAUGUACCAUAAGAAUAAGGACCGGCUAAUUCCGUGCCAGCAGCCGCGGUAAUACGGAAGGUCCGGGCGUUAUCCGGAUUUAUUGGGUUUAAAGGGAGCGUAGGCGGAUUUUUAAGUCAGUUGUGAAAGUUCACGGCCCAACCGUGAAAUUGCAGUUGAAACUGAAAGUCUUGAGUGCGCGCAGGGAUGCUGGAAUUCGUGGUGUAGCGGUGAAAUGCUUAGAUAUCACGAAGAACUCCGAUCGCGAAGGCAUGUGUCCGGAGUGCAACUGACGCUGAGGCUCGAAAGUGUGGGUAUCAAACAGGAUUAGAUACCCUGGUAGUCCACACAGUAAACGAUGAAUACUCGCAGUUGGCGAUAUACGGUCAGCUGCCAAGUGAAAACAAUAAGUAUUCCACCUGGGGAGUACGCCGGCAACGGUGAAACUCAAAGGAAUUGACGGGGGCCCGCACAAGCGGAGGAACAUGUGGUUUAAUUCGAUGAUACGCGAGGAACCUUACCCGGGCUUGAACUCAUCAGGGCGACGCAAGAGAUUGCGUUUUCCUUCGGGACUUGAUGAGAGGUGCUGCAUGGUUGUCGUCAGCUCGUGCCGUGAGGUGUCGGCUUAAGUGCCAUAACGAGCGCAACCCUUCUCCUCGGUUGCCAUCGGGUAAUGCCGGGCACUCCGUGGACACUGCCAUCGUAAGAUGUGAGGAAGGUGGGGAUGACGUCAAAUCAGCACGGCCCUUACGUCCGGGGCUACUCACGUGUUACAAUGGAAGGAACAGAGGGAAGCCACCUGGUGACAGGGCGCGGAUCCCGAAACCCUUUCCCAGUUCGGACUGGAGUCUGCAACCCGACUUCACGAAGCUGGAUUCGCUAGUAAUCGCGCAUCAGCCAUGGCGCGGUGAAUAAAAUCCCGGGCCUUGUACA